AUAUGCAAAGUAUCCAGAUGGAAUAAAAAGUGCUGUGUCUUGAUCACUCUAUGAGAUGCUCUAAUCCUGCAUAGAUUUGGUGUCUGUAGGUCACAUGACUUGGGAGCUAUUGAGGUCCCAAGUCCCCGGGAGGCCGGGGUUCGAUUCCAGGUGUGUGUGAGUGAGAUAGGCACAGGGAGUAUGGGAGUGAGUGAGUGAGUGAGUGAGAUAGGCAUAGGGAGUAUAGGAGUGAAUGAGUGAGAUAGGCAUAGGGAGUAUAGCUCAGUGGGUAGAGUGGCUGGCUGCCACCCGGGAGACUGUGGUUCGAUUCCAGGUGUGAGUAAGAUAGGCAUAGGGAGUAAAGGUGUGAGUGAGUGAGAUAGGCAUAGGGACUAUAGGAGUGACUGAGAUGAAUAUAGGAGUGAGUGAGUGAGUGAGACAGGCAUAGGGAGGAUAGCUCAAUGGGUAGAGUGGCUGGCUGGCACCCAGGAGGCCGGGGUUCGAUUCUAGGUGUGAGUGAGAUAGGCAUCGGGAGUAUAGCUCAGUGGGUGAGUGAGAUAGGCAUAGGGACUAUAGGAGGGAGUGAGAUGAGUAUAGGAGUGCGUGAGAUAGGCAUAGGGAGUAUAGCUCAGUGAGUGAGUGAGUGAGUGAGAUGGGCAUAGGGAGUAUAGCUCAGUGAGUGAGUGAGUGAGUGAGAUGGGCAUAGGAAGUAUAGCUCAAUGGGUAGAGUGGCUGGCUGGCACCCGGGAGGCAGGGGUUCAAUUCCAGGAGUGAGUGAGAUAGGCAUAGGGAGUAGAGCUCAGUGGAUAGAGUGGCUGGCUGGCACCCGGGAGGCCGGGGUUCGAUUCCAGGUGUGAGUGAGAUAGGCAUAGGGAGUAGAGCUCAGUGGAUAGAGUGGCUGGCUGGCACCCGGGAGGCCGGGGUUCGAUUCCAGGUGUCAGUGAGUGAGUGAGUGGGAUAGGGAGUAUAGGAGUGAGUGUGACAGGCAUAGGGAGUAUAGGAAUGAGUGAGAUAAGCAUAGGGAGUAUAGCUCAGUGGGUUGAGUGGCUGGCUGGCACCCGGGAGUCAGGGGUUGGAUUCCAGGUGUGAGUGAGAUAGGCAUCGGGAGUAUAGGAGUGAAUGAGUGAGAUGAGUGUUGGAGUGAGUGAGUGAGAUAGGCAUAGGGAGUAUCGCUUCGUGGGUAGAGUGGCUGGCUGGCACCGGGGAGGCCGGGGUUCGAUUCCAGGUGUGAGUGAGACAGGCAUAGGGAGUAUAGGAGUGAGUGAGUGAGACAGGCAUAGGAGUGAGUGAGUGAGAUAGGCAUAUGGACUAUAGGAGUGAGUGAGAGAGAUGAGUCUAGGAGUGAGUGAGAUAGGCAUAGGGAGUAGAGCUCAAUGGGUAGAGAGGCUGGCUGGCACCCGGGAGGCAGGGGUUCAAUUCCAGGUGUGAGUAAGAUAGGCAUAGGGAGUAUAGGAGUGAGUGAGUGAGAUGGGCAUAGGGAGUAUAGCUCAAUGGGUAGAGUGGCUGGCUGGCACCCGAGAGGCCAGGGUUCGAUUCCAGGAGUGAUUGAGAUAGGCGUCGGGAGUAUAGCUCAGUGGGUGAGUGAGAUAGGCAUAGGCAGUAUAGCUCAGUGGGUAGAGUGGCUGGCUGGCACCCGGGAGGCCAGGGUUCGAUUACAGGUGUCAGUGAGUGAGAUCGGCAUAGGGAGUAUAGGUAUAGGAGUGAGUGAGUGAGUGAGUGAGAUAGGCAGAGGGAGUAUAGCUCAGUGGGUAGAGAGGCUGGCUGCCACCCGGGAGGCCAGGGUUCGAUUACAGGAGUGAGUGAGUGAGAUAGGCAGAGGGAGUAUAGCUCAGUGGGUAGAGAGGCUGGCUGCCACCCGGGAGACUGGGGUUCGAUUCCAGGUGUGAGUUAGAAAGGCAUGGGGAGUAUAGGUGUGAGUGAGUGAGAUAGGCAUAGGGACUAUAGCAGUGAGUGAGAUGAGUAUAGGAGUGCGUGAGAUAGGCAUAGGGAAUAUGUGAGUGAGAUAGGCAUAGGCAGUAUCGCUCAGUGGGGAGAGUGGCUGGCUGGCACCCGGGAGUCCGGGGUUGGAUUCCAGGUGUGAGUGAGAUAGGCAUAGGGAGUAUAAAAGUGAGUGAGUGAGAUAGGCAUUGGGAGUAUAGGAGUCAAUGAGUGAGAUGAGUAUAGGCAGAGAGAGUAUAGGAGUGAGUGAGAUAGGGAGGAUAGGAUUGAGUGAGUCAGAUAGGCAUAGUGAGGAUAGGAGUGAGUGAGAUAGGCAUAGGGAGUAUAGAAGUGAGUGAGAUUGGGAGAAUAGGAGUGAGUGAGUGAGUCAGAUAGGCAUAGUGAGUAUAGGAGUGAGUGAGAUAGGCAUAGGGAGUAUAGCUCAGGGGGUAGAGUGGCUGGCUGGCACCCGAGAGGCCGGGGUUCGAUUCCGUGAGUGAGAUAGGCAUAGGCAGUGUAGCUCAGUGGGUGGAGUGGCUGGCUGGCACCCGGGAGGCCAGGGUUCAAUUCCAGAUGUGAGUAAGUGAGAUAGGCAUAGGGAGUAGAGCUCAGUGGGUGAGUGAGAUAGGCAUAGGGACUAUAGGAGGGAGUGUGGUGAGUAUAGGAGUGCGUGAGAUCGGCAUAGGGAGUAUAGCUCAGUGAGUGAGUGAGUGAGAUAGGCAUAGGGAGUAUAGCUCAGGGGGUAGAGUGGCUGGCUGGCACCCGGGAGGCCGGGGUUCGAUUCCAGGAGUGAGUGAGUGAGAUAGGCAUAGGGAGUAUAGAAGUGAGUGAGAUUGGGAGAAUAGGAGUGAGUGAGUGAGUCAGAUAGGCAUAGUGAGUAUAGGAGUGAGUGAGAUAGGCAUAGGGAGUAUAGCUCAGGGGGUAGAGUGGCUGGCUGGCACCCGAGAGGCCGGGGUUCGAUUCCGUGAGUGAGAUAGGCAUAGGCAGUGUAGCUCAGUGGGUGGAGUGGCUGGCUGGCACCCGGGAGGCCAGGGUUCAAUUCCAGAUGUGAGUAAGUGAGAUAGGCAUAGGGAGUAGAGCUCAGUGGGUGAGUGAGAUAGGCAUCGGGACUAUAGCUCAAUGGGUAGAGUGGCUGGCUGGCACCCGGGAGGCAGGGGUUCAAUUCCAGGUGUGAGUAAGAUAGGCAUAGGGAGUAUAGGAGUGAGUGAGUGAGAUGGGCAUAGGGAGUAGAGCUCAAUGGGUAGAGAGGCUGGCUGGCACCCGGGAGGCAGGGGUUCAAUUCCAGGUGUGAGUGAGUGAGAUAGGCAUAGUGAGUAUAGGAAUGAGUGACUGAGAUAGGCAGAGAGAGUAUAGCUCAGUGGGUAGAGUGGCUGGCUGGCACCCGGGAGGCCGGGGUUCGAUUCCAGGUGUGAGCAAGACAGGCAUAGGGAGUAUAGGAGUGAGUGAGUGAGAUAGGCAUAUGGACUAUAGGAGUGAGUGAGUGAGAGAGAUGAGUAUAGGAGUGAGUGAGAUAGGCAGAGGGAGUAUAGCUCAGUGGGUAGAGUGGCUGGCUGGCACCCAGGAGGCCGGGGUUCGAUUUCAGGUGUGAGUGAGUGAGAUAGGCAUAGGGAGUAGAGCUCAGUGGGUGAGUGAGAUAGGCAUCGGGACUAUAGCUCAAUGGGUAGAGUGGCUGGCUGGCACCCGGGAGGCAGGGGUUCAAUUCCAGGUGUGAGUAAGAUAGGCAUAGGGAGUAUAGGAGUGAGUGAGUGAGAUGGGCAUAGGGAGUAUAGCUCAAUGGGUAGAGUGGCUGGCUGGCACCCGAGAGGCCAGGGUUCGAUUCCAGGAGUGAUUGAGAUAGGCGUCGGGAGUAUAGCUCAGUGGGUGAGUGAGAUAGGCAUAGGCAGUAUAGCUCAGUGGGUAGAGUGGCUGGCUGGCACCCGGGAGGCCAGGGUUCGAUUACAGGUGUCAGUGAGUGAGAUCGGCAUAGGGAGUAUAGGUAUAGGAGUGAGUGAGUGAGAUAGGCAGAGGGAGUAUAGCUCAGUGGGUAGAGAGGCUGGCUGCCACCCGGGAGGCCAGGGUUCGAUUACAGGUGUCAGUGAGUGAGAUCGGCAUAGGGAGUAUAGGUAUAGGAGUGAGUGAGUGAGAUAGGCAGAGGGAGUAUAGCUCAGUGGGUAGAGAGGCUGGCUGCCACCCGGGAGACUGGGGUUCGAUUCCAGGUGUGAGUUAGAAAGGCAUGGGGAGUAUAGGUGUGAGUGAGUGAGAUAGGCAUAGGGACUAUAGCAGUGAGUGAGAUGAGUAUAGGAGUGCGUGAGAUAGGCAUAGGGAAUAUGUGAGUGAGAUAGGCAUAGGCAGUAUCGCUCAGUGGGGAGAGUGGCUGGCUGGCACCCGGGAGUCCGGGGUUGGAUUCCAGGUGUGAGUGAGAUAGGCAUAGGGAGUAUAAAAGUGAGUGAGUGAGAUAGGCAUUGGGAGUAUAGGAGUCAAUGAGUGAGAUGAGUAUAGGCAGAGAGAGUAUAGGAGUGAGUGAGAUAGGGAGGAUAGGAUUGAGUGAGUGAGUCAGAUAGGCAUAGUGAGGAUAGGAGUGAGUGAGAUAGGCAUAGGGAGUAUAGAAGUGAGUGAGAUUGGGAGAAUAGGAGUGAGUGAGUGAGUCAGAUAGGCAUAGUGAGUAUAGGAGUGAGUGAGAUAGGCAUAGGGAGUAGAGCUCAGUGGGUGAGUGAGAUAGGCAUAGGGACUAUAGGAGGGAGUGUGGUGAGUAUAGGAGUGCGUGAGAUCGGCAUAGGGAGUAUAGCUCAGUGACUCAGUGAGUGAGUGAGAUGGGCAUAGGGAGUAUAGCUCAGUGGGAAGUGUGGCUGGCUGGCUCCCGGAAGGCCGGGGUUCGAUUCCAGGUUUGAGUGAGUGAGAUAGGCAUAGGGAGUAUAGCUCAGUGGGUGAGUGAGAUAGGCAUAGGGAGUAUAGGAAUGAGUGAGAUAAGCAUCGGCAGUAUAGCUCAGUGGGAAGAGUGGCUGGCUGGCACCCGGGAGGCCGGGGUUCGAUUCCAGGUGUGAGCAAGACAGGCAUAGGGAGUAUAGGAGUGAGUGAGUGAGAUAGGCAUAUGGACUAUAGGAGUGAGUGAGUGAGAGAGAUGAGUAUAGGAGUGAGUGAGAUAGGCAUAGGGAGUAGAGCUCAAUGGGUAGAGAGGCUGGCUGGCACCUGGGAGUCCGGGGUUGGAUUCCAGGUGUGACCGACAUAGGCAUAGGGAGUAUAGGUAUAGGAGUGAGUGAGAUAGGCAGAGGGAGUAUAGCUCAGUGGGUAGAGUGGCUGGCUGGCACCCAGGAGGCCGGGGUUUGAUUUCAGGUGUGAGUGAGUGAGAUAGGCAUAGGGAGGAUAGCUCAAUGGGUGAGUGAGAUAGGCAUAGGGAGUAUAGGAAUGAGUGAGAUAAGCAUCGGGAGUAUAGGAGUGAGUGAGAUAGGCAUAGGGAGGAUAGCUCAAUGGGUUGAGUGGCUGGCUGGCACCCGGGAGGCCGGGGUUUGAUUCCAGGUGCGAGUGAGAUAGGCAUAGUGAGUAUCGGAGUGAGUGAGAUAGGCAUAGGGAGUAUAGCUCAGUGGAUUGGCUGGCUGGCACCCGGGAGGCCGGGGUUCAAUUCCAGGUGUGAGUGAGUGAGAUAGGCAUAGGGAGUAUAGGAGUGAGUGAGAUAGGCAUAGUGAGUAUCGGAGUGAGUGAGAUAGGCAUAGGGAGUAUAGCUCAGUGGAUAGAGUGGCUGGCUGGCUGGCACCCGGGAGGCCGGGGUUCAAUUCCAGGUGUGAGUGAGUGAGAUAGGCAUAGGGAGUAUAGGAGUGAGUGAGAUAGGCAUAGGGAGUAUAGGAGUGGUUGAGUCAGUCUUUGCUCUUCCUUUUUCUGCCUCACGUAAGUUAACCGAUAAUUAUCAAUGAAAUAAGUAUCCAAUCGACUGAGCCCGUAACACACGUGCUGCUCAAUAUCCAGAACACCAUUUGGAGUCAGAGUUGUGCGAUGGGUCGUUUGAAAAAAGGCAGACAAAGGAAGAGCAAAGACCUGACGUGACGUUAUGUUACAUUAUGUUAUGAUACAUUACGGCACUCAAAUAUAGGGAUUCGUAGUUUAUAGAUCCUUUGUCACACUUAGAAACAUUGAAUGAACAUUUGGACACAAUUAAUAUGUUUUGUGAAUUUUUCAUGUAUUUUAUACUGUAAUUAUGAGCAUUACAGCUCUAUAAGUCCCAGGUCAUGUGAUCUUUUGGCUAAAUAGAUUUAGACCUGGUUUAUUACACAGACUUUAUUAUUGCUUUUGGAGACUAUUAAUAUUUUUUUAGUGAGUUUUUAAUUA